rnacentral:rRNA from 1 species
CGGGUGAGUGAUGCGUGACCAACCUGCCCCAUGCUCCAGAAUAGCUCUUGGAAACGGGUGGUAAUGCUGGAUGCUCCAACUUGACGCAUGUCUUGUUGGGAAAGUGUUUAGUGGCAUGGGAUGGGGUCGCGUCCUAUCAGCUUGUAGGCGGGGUAAUGGCCCACCUAGGCUUCGACGGGUAGCCGGCCUGAGAGGGCGGACGGCCACAUUGGGACUGAGAUACGGCCCAGACUCCUACGGGAGGCAGCAGGC